rnacentral:tRNA from 1 species
GGACUGUAGCUCAAUGGUAGAGCUCUUGCCUAGCAUGCAUGAGGCACUGGGUUAGAUCCUCAGCACCA